GGGACCUCCGGGGCCCUGACUGCCCUGAGCAGGGGCGCCCGGUGUUAGGUGUCCCCGCCCAUGGCUGGGGAGGCUGGAAGGAGAUGAGCUUAAAGGCCCUUUCCCAACCCAAACCACUGCAUGGUUGGUUUUUCCAGAGAACACCGAGGAGCCUUCCCAGAAAAACAGCCAAACCCCACAGAAUCACUGCAUAUUCUGAGCUGGAAGGGAUCCUCCAGAAACAAGGGUCAGGUUGGAAGGGACCACCCUGGGUCAUCUGAUGCAACCUCCCUGCUCAGGCAUGGUCACCCUGGAGCACAUGGCACAGGAUUGCAUCCAGGUUCCUUGAUCAGUGCCAUUCUGAGAUCCGCAGCUGAGGAUCAGCAAUGCACACAAACUGCUUCUGAGCAAGCCAGAUCCACAAGUCUAACCUGUCAGAGACAACACUGCCUGUGGCCCUGCCAUUCCACUUCUGCAGAGCCAGUGACUGGAAUUGGAGACACGAUGUGAUGGAGAGAAAGCGCAGGCAGUGGAAGUCUGAUUUUGCCAAUGCAAUUUUGCUUUUGCAAAAACAAAAAGCAUUCCAAGUACAGUUCUGCUGGGAUGUGGGGAUCCUGGGACAUGCCUCUCCAUCUGCUUAUCACUGCUGCUGGCAUCCUCCCCUGAGGUUGAUUGCUUCUCUACCAGCCUUACUGAUGUCCAGGUGUGGGACUGAGGUGUGCUGUUUCACUAAAGGUAGACUGAGGACAGAGCCAAGCAACUCAGUGAUUCAGACCAGACUGAAGCCUCGUGCCCGAACUGGUUUGUGUUCUUUCUCCUCAAGGUAGUUGGCCUUGAGGGGCAAUUUCAUUAGAGAUCAGCUCCUGUACGCAGCCCGUAAUUGAUGGUGGAAGGGUCCCCCUACGCUGCAUUUCAAUACCAAAACACAGAUGCAGGCUGCCAUCCAAACCUAAAGGCAGCUGCUCAAAAAUGUGUGGGAAGAGCAACUUCAGAGGGACUCAAAUGGAAUAUUUUUAGAUAAGGGUGGGAAAAUAGAAACAAAUAUAAGGAGCAAAGGCGAGGAGAGGAAAGGCAAGGACAUCGUGAAAACAAGCCCUGAAAAAAGCUGUGAGGGGACCAACCUCCUUGUGGCUGAACAGAGGCUGAAGAAGGGAAGACUGGAGGAGUGAGUGGACACUUUCCACCCUCACUUUCUCUUGUGAUUUUCUUCCUUUUGUGCUGGAGCCAUGCAUGUCACUUGUAAACAAGGUUGCAUCAGAGAACUCGAGCACCCGUCCUUCAUUUCUGCUUUAUUGCUUGAGUCAAUAUAAACAGCACUGUGUUUGCUCUCUAUUUGUGUUAGCCAAUCUAAAUAUCAAAUCACUCUUACCUUUGUACUGAGAUGGAGUGAUUUUAUAAAACUCUACUGCAGUUUCGUUAGUUUCAGACCUUGGAACCCAAACACAGCCUCAAUUCCUUUGAGUUUCUUUUUGGCUGGUUUGUUUGUUUUAAAAUCUAGAACUUAAGACAUUUCUAAUAAAAACAUGCUACUCAACAAUUCUGCAGGAGAACUAGUAAUGCUGUGAUUCAGCAGUAGUUGUAAGGCUACCAAUAUAGAAAAAGCCACUUCAAGAUAAAUGAUUAAACACUGUCAUGUUUAUGUACAUUGUAUUUAGCCAAAAAGUAAUAAGCUAAUGUUUAAUACAAAGAAUGAACCACAUAAUAAAUUGAAACUUAAUUAA